rnacentral:lncRNA from 1 species
GAACUAUGACAGACUAGAAAGUUUGAAGCUUUUGUUUGAUAAUAUCCUGGCUGCUUACUAUAUAUGUUUUCUCUUUUUGUUUGACCCACUGGUUUUUUUCGGUUCUUUUUGUCCAUUCGAUUCUUUUUCUGUUUUUUCGCUGUCGGAAAAUUACUAUAGUUCUAUACUCAACUUGAAUGGUUUGAUGAUGUUACUUACAAGCUCCGUAAGCGCGUAUUAAUUUCAAUCGUUAUCGUCUUUCUUGUUUGUUUAUCUUGUUUGCAAACUAUUAUUGUAUGUUCAGAAGGGGAUGA